CAUUUAUAGUAGCAGUGUCUACUAUAAAUG
rfam:Pteropus alecto contig101039, whole genome shotgun sequence.